rnacentral:rRNA from 1 species
AUUGAACGCUGGCGGAAUGCUUUACACAUGCAAGUCGAACGGUAGCGGGGGAAACUCCUCGAGAGCGGCGAACGGAGGAGUAAUAUAACGGAACGUGCACAGUCGUGGGGGAUAUAGUAGCGACAGCUACGCUACUACCGCCUACGAUCUAAGGAUGAAAGCGGGGGAUCGCACGACGCCGCGCGAUUGGGGCGGCCGAUAUCAGCUUAGGUAGUUGGUGGAGUAAAGGCUCACCAAGCCAACGAUCUGUAGCUGGUCUGAGAGUACGACCAGCCACACUGGUACUGAGACACGGUCCAGACUCCUACGGGAGGCAGCAGUGGGGAAUUUUGGACAAUGGACGCAAGUCUGAUCCAGCCAUUCCGCGUGCAGGAUGAAGGCCCUCGGGUUGUAAACUGCUUUUGUACGGAACGAAAAGGUCUCUCUUAAUACGGGGGGCUCAUGACGGUACCGUAAGAAUAAGCACCGGCUAACUACGUGCCAGCAGCCGCGGUAA